ACGCUCGACACCUACGGUAGGCAGCAGUGAGGAAUAUUGGUCAAUGGGCGCUAGCCUGAACCAGCCAAGUAGCGUGAAGGAUGAAGGCUCUAUGGGUCGUAAACUUCUUUUAUAUAAGAAUAAAGUGCAGUAUGUAUACUGUUUUGUAUGUAUUAUAUGAAUAAGGAUCGGCUAACUCCGUUCCAGCAGCCGCGGUAAUCUGAGCGGGCUGGCAAGGC
rnacentral:rRNA from 1 species